CGGGGCGUAGCGGUCGGUGCUCCUCAGCCGUCAAAUCGCUGAGGUGUCGGGUUCGAAUCCCCUCGCCCCGACCG
rnacentral:tRNA from 1 species